rnacentral:lncRNA from 1 species
CUGACGAGACUUCCACUCAACUCCGACAGUGCAAAGAGAAACAAAAUCAGAAUUCAUGGAAAGGAAAAGUGGUGGAAAGAGAUGCAUUGGGAGGAUGAAUCCACACGAAAUGCUUUUCUUCCCUGUUUCAUUGCAGAAGUAAUCUUACUUUCACCCUUGUUGUUGUUCUUCGAUUUGCUGCAUGUUUGCUUUCAGAAAGUAACUUUCUUAUCAUUUUGUUUUGUUCUUGAAAAACAUGUAGAUUUGAAGCAUGGCAAUCAUUCAUGCAGCUAUCCUCUGACAUGCUUAAUAUGGCUGACUGAAGACGAAGAACCCUCAGAAAGAACAAUCACCUAUUGUUCUAAGUCAGCAGAUCGUGGAAGACUUUAGGCACUUCUUCUCACUAAUAAUUUUCUUUGCAGUUUCUGUUCUUAUACACUUUAUUAAUUGACAAAUGAACAGAACAAUAUGGGGCAUUUUUUCAGAACAUAUUCCCCAGAAUCUUAGGAAAGCCUGUAAUAAUUUUAAAAAAAAGUCGCAAUAAGAAUGCAUAAAACUACUAAUUUAGCAGCCUUUAUGUACC